rnacentral:rRNA from 1 species
UACGUAGGUGGCAAGCGUUGUCCGGAAUUAUUGGGCGUAAAGGGCGCGCAGGCGGUCCUUCAAGUCAGAUGUGAAAGCCCCGGGCUCAACCUGGGAACUGCAUUUGAGACUGGAGGACUUGAGGACGGGAGAGGAGAGUGGAAUUCCCAGUGUAGAGGUGAAAUUCGUAGAUAUUGGGAAGAACACCGAUGGCGAAGGCAGCUCUCUGGACCGUUACUGACGCUGAGGCGCGGAAGCGUGGGGAGCAAACAGG